GCGCCCGUAGCUCAAUUGGAGAGAGCGUCUGACUACGGAUCAGAAGGUUCCGGGUUCGAGUCCUGGCGGGCGCG
rfam:Gemmatimonas sp. SM23_52 WORSMTZ_5932, whole genome shotgun sequence.